UACCAGCACCCCGAGUGGUCGGGACGUUUAUUGGGCCUAAAGCAUCCGUAGCCGGUUCUGCAAGUCUUCCGUUAAAUCCACCUGCUUAACAGAUGGGCCGCGGAAGAUACUAUAGAGCUAGGAGGCGGGAGAGGCAAGCGGUACUCGAUGGGGUAGGGGUAAAAUCCGUUGAUCCAUUGAAGACCACCAGUGGCGAAGGCGGCUUGCCAGAACGCGCUCGACGGUGAGGGAUGAAAGCUGGGGGAGCAAACGG
rnacentral:rRNA from 1 species